rnacentral:tRNA from 1 species
GUGCCCGUAGCUCAGUUGGAUAGAGCGCAACCCUGCGGAGGUUGAGGCCGGACGUUCGAGUCGUCCCGGGCACGCCA